rnacentral:lncRNA from 1 species
GGAUGCCCCUCGCCAAAAGACGUGUCUUGCCCAUGGCCAUGAAGUCAUUUUGUGUUUGUACACCUACCAGUACAGUGAUUCUCAACUCUGGAAGCACACUAGAAUCAGCCCAGACCAGGACCAACUGUAUGGAGGCUGGUGGAUGGAUGGUGAAGAGAGAGGCCCAGCUGACAGCAGAGAGCACAGCACAGGAUUGGAACCCCAUGGAGGAGGACUGGGCUACCCCCACGGACCCUGGAUGCCCAAGAAUAAGAAACACUGUGCCUGAUGGAAGACAAUGCCCGGCAGCCCUGUGGAUGAUGGUGAGCUUCGAACAAAGAACGCGUCCUACCCCAGUGGAGUUGGAAGAUUCCAGCACAAUAGCAAGACCAAAAUGAAACAAAACACCAACAAAAUGGAGUGCAGAUGAAUCGGACUUUUCUGAGCAUGAUGACUGGAAAUCAGCAGGCGAUCAAGGGAUUACAGAGCUCCAGGCAGUCCAGGAGCUGGUCCGAAGAGCAUUCAUUCCUUGGACACCAAGGCGUGGGAAGCAUCUACAAUGAGAAGCCCUUCGUUACUCUUGAGGCUGCACCCAUGGACCCCAUGAGGGACCUCACAUACCC